rnacentral:rRNA from 1 species
GUAUGCCUACGGGACGCAGCAGUGAGGAAUAUUGGUCAAUGGGCGCAAGCCUGAACCAGCCAAGUCGCGUGAGGGAUGACGGUCCUAUGGAUUGUAAACCUCUUUUGCCGGGGAGCAAGGGCGGGGACGUGUCCCGGCCCGGAGAGUACCCGGAGAAAAAGCAUCGGCUAACUCCGUGCCAGCAGCCGCGGUAAUACGGAGGAUGCGAGCGUUAUCCGGAUUUAUUGGGUUUAAAGGGUGCGUAGGCGGGCUUUUAAGUCAGCGGUAAAAAUUCGGGGCUCAACCCCGUCCGGCCGUUGAAACUG